rnacentral:sRNA from 1 species
GCCGGGCGAGGUGACGGGUGCCUGUAGUCCCAGCUACUUGGGAGGCUGAGGCAGGAGAAUGGUGUGAACCCGGGAGGUGGAGCUUGCAGUGAGCUGAGAUCCGGCCACUGUACUCCAGCCUACGUGACAGCGAGACUCCGUCUCAAAAAAAAAAAAAAGGACUUUUUUUCCUUUUUUUUUUUGAGACGGAGUCUCGCUCUGUCACCCAGGCUGGAGUGCAGUGGCAUGAUCUCUGUUCACUGCAACCUCCGCCUCCCAGGUACAAGCAAUUCUCUGCCUCAG